GGGGAUGUAGCUCAAUGGUAGAGCGCAUGCUUUACAUGUAUGAGGCCCUGGGUUCAAUCCCUAGCAUCUCCA
rnacentral:tRNA from 1 species